ensembl:lncRNA
GUUAGGGGGAGUGUUAGGGGAGUUGUUAGAGGGAGUGUUAGGGGGAGUGUUAGGGGGAGUGUUAGAGGGCUUAUGGAAGGCAUAGUAGGGUCUUGUCCAGUUUGUGCAUUGCUGUCUAUUGAACAGCCUUUCUUUCACAAAUUGUAAGAGUUUUGUUAACUUUCACAUAACCUUUGUCCAUCCCCACAACCCCAGUCUUAAGAAAUUUAAAUACUGUUAUUUACAGGAAGGUCUUUUUAGAUGUGAUUUUCACAUUGUAGGAUACAGUGGACGACCUCGCGUUGAUUUGAAAACAAGAUACAUGUAACAUGAAAGGGAUUGAAACUAAUAUGUAUGAAUUGCACUGUAUAACAUACAAAAUGCGUGGAAGAGGGAUUAGAAAUCAGAGUUUGUAUCGGGUCAUUUAGUAACAUAGUUCUGCCCUGGAGUAUCAUGGAAAGCUCCACGUCCUAACACACCUUUGUGUAAGACUAACAGCAGCUGUCAGGUUUGGCUUGUGUUAUACUUAGAGUUCUCCAGUGAUGCAACAAUGAGCUCCAUAGAUCUGCUUCUAGCUGUUAGCACACACAAAGUGUACUGAUAGAAAACACCUACUCAAGAGCAGAAACAAUUGGGAUGUGUUAGGAUGACUUAUGUCAAUUUAUUUUAUUUUGAUUUUUGUUUUUUCAUUCAUUUAGAAUUUAUUUUUUGGGUUUUGAAAGAAGUGUUUCUUGUGGUUAAUUGUUCAUUAGUGAUGUGAUGAUUAAAAAUGUAAUAAAAUACAAAUGUUUAAGAUAUUGUGCUUGCCUUUUGAUGAAUUACGUAAUCCUCUCUGCCACAGAUGAGCCAUACGUACAGGAUGUAGAUUUACAUUGCAAAUAGAAAGCAGGAAACAUUUUGACACAUUCCCUUUGGAGAAUUACUUAGUGAGGCAUGAUAACAUUGUUGAUUAUGACUGCAAUUGAUUAGUGAAGAGUAGCGAAAUGGUAUUGUAGAAGUGAGUCCUAUCUGUCGGAAGACAAUCUCACAUUAAC